AUCCAGCUGAAGAGUCCUAAAUAGGAUCAAACCUGCGUCCUAGAU
rnacentral:hammerhead_ribozyme from 1 species